rnacentral:rRNA from 1 species
UACGUAGGGGGCAAGCGUUGUCCGGAUUUAUUGGGCGUAAAGAGCGUGUAGGCGCCCUUACAGGUCAGCUGUGAAAACUCGAGGCUCAACCUCGAGACGUCGGUUGAAACCGUAUGGCUAGAGUCCGGAAGAGGAGAGUGGAAUUCCCGGUGUAGCGGUGAAAUGCGCAGAUAUCGGGAAGAACACCCGUGGCGAAGGCGGCUCUCUGGGACGGUACUGACGCUGAGACGCGAAAGCGUGGGGGAGCGAACAGG